rnacentral:rRNA from 1 species
UACGGAGGGUGCAAGCGUUAAUCGGAAUUACUGGGCGUAAAGCGUGCGUAGGUGGUUCGUUAAGUCCGUUGUGAAAGCCCCGAGCUCAACUUGGGAACUGCAUCUGAUACUGGAUGGCUUGAGUUCGGGAGAGGGAUGCGGAAUUCCAGGUGUAGCGGUGAAAUGCGUAGAUAUCUGGAGGAACACCGGUGGCGAAGGCGGCAUCCUGGACCGACACUGACGCUGAGGAGCGAAAGCCAGGGGAGCAAACGGG